CGCGGCGUCGCCUGCCGCGCCUCCUUACCUCCAGCCUCUGCCAGCGCGGGUUGCCCCCCACCCUCCCGCGCUUGGCUAGGGGCCGCAGCCCCCCUGGGCUCCUAGUGCCCAGGGGGGCUCCGAUCCUCGCACGAUAGGUGCCACGUGCGCGCAAAGCUAUCUUCCUGGAGCAGCAGGCGACGACCGACACGGAGGCCAGGAGCAGGCGGUGGUGGCGAGAAUCGGGCGCAUGGCGUCCUCCAGGUCCUUCAGCACUUAAUCUUAAAUUAAGACGUGUCUAGGAUGACAAGUUAAUUUAAACUACCAUGGAAAGAGAAAAGAAAUGGGCGCCACUGACCAUGGAAAGCAGUACCUAUACUACUCAGGGUUGUAAUGACAUAAUACCAAGAAAUAAAAGACUCUGGAAAACUGACCUUUCACCUAUGGAAGAUAUGAACACCUUGAGGGUAGGGGUACAAGGCGAAGCUUUCACCAGCUCCCUAUGGGACCUGAGACUAGGAAUUAAUGAGUAUCUGAAUACAGAAUAUGUCUGUUUCAGAAAACAGGAAGAGAGGCCCAGAGCUCAGCAUCUAAGAGGGACUGCGGGAGCUAACAUAGAGGAGUGAGGCUAAGCUGGAGGGCUGGAGCUAAGAGAACAUUCUGGUACUCCAGGACCUCUGCCUGCAAACCUUAGACAUUCCCCAUCCCACCAGCAGAGCCCUGAUCCUUGACAUGGACAGAAGAUCCUAUGGUUAAGUGGAAGAAUUUGGACCCACCUGCUAAGGGAAUUUCAAUUUAGACCUGGAAGAUUCUAGAAGACAUAGUUUGGCUCCAGAUAGAGAAGAAAUGAAAGAGGGAAGCUGAAAGCAGCUCUCAGUACCAUCCCUAAGCUAGGCUCUGGAACCCCUUCUGGAAGCAAGGCCAGCACCAGAACCUCUCUGACAAGGUAUCAACAAAGGCCAAGGCCUACCCUGUAGCUAGAUGGCAUUCGUCACUGCUGUUCACUGCUGUUCCUGUUCAGACUUUCAGCCUCAGACUGGCAUGGAAAUUUGAAUGGCUGUGCCUGUCAAAUGUCUAGACAAGGUUGUUUGUUUUGACCCAAGUAGAUCCUUCUGGGUUUUGUGCAUUUUAAUUUUCAGUACUCACAAUAAUUUUAUGUAAGCUCUGAUUUGGUUUGCUCAGCUAGGUUGGAGAUCUCUUGAAAGCUGAUGAAACAUGUCUUUUGACCAUCAUUCCAUCCUCUUAAUUGUUGCUAUCUACUCUCAGUAUGAUCCCUUUGUAGAAACUGACCACCCUCCUUAACUUCCUAGCUUUGGUUUUGACUGUGGACCAAGAAGGGGGCAGCAAUGUCUUACACUUUUGUCUUCCCCAUUGGGAGGGGCACAUGUUGUGAACUCAACUUGUGUAUAUUGAAUGAAUGAAUGAAUGAAUGAAUAAAAAUGCCCAAAUUAAGGCAAACUCACCAGACCGGCAAGGACUCAUCCUCCUGAGAGGCGUAGCAGAUUCUUGAGCAGCUACUGCGUGCUGAGAGGUGCUACUAGAGAGGCAAAGAGGAAACAAGGCUAUUUUGAUUUAUAAGUUAACUAAAAAUUAGGAAUAACUUAUCAGUGAGGGAAAAUGGGUGCAUGUGUGCCACAGACUAGCCAGUAUUCCAUGCUCUUUGCCAAGUUGGACGUUACCCUCUCGUGCGAGAAACCUCAGACCUGCCAAUGGUCAAAAACUUGAAAAAGUAACUGUGACAACUGUUUUCAUUUGGAACUAUGAUGGAUAUACUCUUUUCCUAAAUCGGGCAUGUCAUUUUAUUCUAAAUUUCUAUUAAACACUUCCCAACACUAUUUCUUUCCUCCUUCCUAAAGAACCACCAUGACCCCUGACUCCCCAGUAAUUCCAGAUGUCACACAAGGCCCAUUGUGUGACCAUCUUUGUGGUGAGGUCUCUUUCUUGGCUAUUAGAACAGCAAUUGUUUCUUCCUCCCUGCACUGGCCCCUAAUUGGCUAUUCUACUAAGUCUCAAAGCAAUACAAAUUCUGCUCAAAUCAAUUAUCAACACAUUUCUAACUCCUGGCACUGGGAAAGAGAGGGAGCUUUUCCUGGUCUGGGAGGCUCACCCAUGAGAAGGAGCUGAGAGGGUCAGCCUGGGAAACCCCUUUGGCCCCUGUGGCUGUGCUUCAAACAAAAGCCCCCAACUUCAGAGAAUGGAAUCCUAUUGUAACCAUCCAGGACAGGAUUUUUAUUGUUUGUUUGUUUGUUUCACUUGAGCUUAUGAAUAAAGCACAGGUCACAAAGAAGCAGCUGAGGCAAUAUCCUCCACACCCAUGCUGCUCCAGAUUUGCAUCUGGCUGAGCUGCCUCUUCUGCCUCAUCCCCUCUUCCCUUCACCUUCCCUCAUUAUCUACCCUCUCUAAUGAACAUACUUGUUUUUCAAGGUGAAAGAGUAGAAAGAAAAGAAAGAACGAGAAAACAAUAAGAAUUUAGCGUAAAAUUCAAAGGAUGUCCUGUACUUCAGAGAUGUCCACUUAGUAUACAGUUUGCCUUUAACCUAAGGCUUUGGCUUUGUUUUGUUCUGGGUGAUUAUUUAAUAAAAAGAUUCAUGAAGAUUAGAUUUAUUUUUUAAAGGACAAAAAGGUCCAUUGUGUGUCAGAUUUCUUAAAACAAAACAAAACCACUAAGUGGGAUAAGGAUGUGAAAACACUUGGAAAAAUCAGAUUGUGGGACAAGGGAAGGGUAUUCCUAAUUUCAAAAUAAGACAAAAAUGAAACAAUCACUUUAUGAUCAGCAGAGAGGGCAAUGGCUAGAGCUGAGAGGACUCAGGUGGCCCCAUCCUGUUCUCCUCCAUGGCUCCUAGAACCCACAUGGCCUUGUGGGGUGGUGGGACAGGAAGGGCUGAUGCCCCACCACCUGUUGAGCUCCCC